rnacentral:lncRNA from 1 species
AUUUUUAAAUUAGUUACAAAUGCAUUGUCCCAGAGGUAGACUAGACAACUAGACGACAGCAACUUUGUAAUAGAAGUGAAGAGGGAAGGGGAAAAAAAUCCUGAAUGUACAGAAAAGAUGAAGAGCCUUGGAGAUGGGGAGACAAACUGUAACAAUUACUGUCAACUGUAAAAUGGGGGGGAAAUCAAAAGGGAGAAAUGGAGGAAAUUACACCCCUGUUGACUUCUGCUAACAGCCCCCUUCCAUUUUGUAGAACAAAGAGUGCGGGAAGAUUUAGCUGCCUGUUUAUCCACCUGCCUGUGGUGACCAUGUGGACGUCACUUUGCCUUUGCCUCAAUUUGGAAUACAUGCUGGACUCUUCCACCCCAGGAGCAGGAGACAGCCACUUUGAACAGUGUCCAGGUAUGUAAUGUUCUCUCCCCAGCUCCUCCCCGUGGCUGAUCUGUACCUGCUAUCCACAGUUAUCUCCUGGUGACCACCUUCCUAUGAGACAGCUAAACUCAGGCUAUUUGACUGACCCUAUGACUCCAUGCCCUGCAUGGACAACAGAUAGGCCAGACACUGCCUUUUUCUCACAGUGUGAUGAUCUCCUGGAACUUGUUUCUACUCUAUUAAGCCCACCG